AGUGAACGCUGGCGGCAGGCCUAACACAUGCAAGUCGAACGGCAGCACAAGAGAGCUUGCUCUCUGGGUGGCGAGUGGCGGACGGGUGAGGAAUGCAUCGGAAUCUGCCCAUUUGUGGGGGAUAACCUCGGGAAACCGGGACUAAUACCGCAUACGACCUACGGGUGAAAGCAGGGGAUCUUCGGACCUUGCGCAGAUGGAUGAGCCGAUGCCGGAUUAGCUAGUUGGAGGGGUAAAGGCCCACCAAGGCGACGAUCCGUAGCUGGUCUGAGAGGAUGAUCAGCCACACUGGGACUGAGACACGGCCCAGACUCCUACGGGAGGCAGCAGUGGGGAAUAUUGGACAAUGGGCGCAAGCCUGAUCCAGCCAUGCCGCGUGUGUGAAGAAGGCCUUCGGGUUGUAAAGCACUUUUGUUGGGAAAGAAAAGCAGCCGGUUAAUACCCGGCUGUCAUGACGGUACCCAAAGAAUAAGCACCGGCUAACUUCGUG
rnacentral:rRNA from 1 species